rnacentral:rRNA from 1 species
CGUGUAGGCGGUUUAGUAAGCCUGGUGUUAAAGGCCUUGGCUCAACCAAGGUUUGGCGCUGGGAACUGUUAGACUAGAGUUCAGGAGGGGGAGCUGGAAUUCCAGGUGUAGGGGUGAAAUCUGUAGAUAUCUGGAAGAACACCGGUGGCGAAGGCGAGCUCCUAGCCAUGGACUGACGCUGAGGCGCGAAAGCGUGGGGAGCGAACAGGAUUAGAUACCCUGGUAGUCC